AAUGAACGUUGGCGGCGUGGAUUAGGCAUGCAAGUCGAGCGAGAACCCCGCAAGGGGGGACAGCGGCAAACGGGGUAGUAAUGUGUCGGAACGUGCCCAGAGGACGGGGAUAGCGGCGGGAAACUGCCGGUAAUACCCGAUGAUCUCGAGAGAGCAAAGGUGUGAUUCCGCCUUUGGAGCGGCCGACAUGGUAUUAGCUAGUUGGCGGGGUAACGGCCCACCAAGGCUUUGAUGCCUAGGGGAUGUGAGAGCAUGAUCCCCACCAUUGGGACUGAGACACUGCCCAGACACCUACGGGUGGCUGCAGUCGAGAAUCUUCGUCAAUGGGCGAAAGCCUGAACGAGCGACGCCGCGUGCGGGAUGAAGGCCCUUGGGUUGUAAACCGCUGUCGAGGGGGAUGAAGGCUUGAAGGUACUCCUUCAAGUUUGACAGAGCCCUGGAGGAAGCACGGGCUAAGUUCGUGCCAGCCGCCGCAGUAACAC
rnacentral:rRNA from 1 species